rnacentral:rRNA from 1 species
UACGGGGGGGAGCAAGCGUUGUUCGGAUUUACUGGGCGUAAAGGGCGCGUAGGCGGCCAGCACAAGUCAGUUGUGAAAUCUCCGAGCUUAACUCGGAAAGGUCAACUGAUACUGUGCGGCUAGAGUGCGGAAGGGGCAACUGGAAUUCUUGGUGUAGCGGUGAAAUGCGUAGAGAUCGGGCAGGAACACCCAAGGGGGAAGCCAGCCGACUGGCCCGCACCUGACACUCAGGGACGACAGCGUGGGGAGCGAACCGG